UUCUUCUUCUUAUGAUGAUGAUGAUGAUGAUGAUGAUGAUCAUGAUCAUCAUCAUCAUCAUCAUCAUCAUCAUCAUCAUCGUCAUCAUCACUGUCU
rnacentral:pre_miRNA from 1 species